AUUGAACGCUGGCGGCAGGCCUAACACAUGCAAGUCGAACGAGCGGCGGACGGGUGAGUAAUGUAUGGGGACUGCCCGAUCGAGGGGGAUAACUACUGGAAACGGUGGCUAAUACCGCAUACUAUCGGAUAACCCAUAUGGGAUUAGCUAGUAGGUGGGGUAAAGGCUCACCCAGGCGACGAGCCCUAGCUGGUCUGCGAGGAUGACGAGACACACUGGGACUGAGAAACGGCCCAGACUCCUACGGAGGCAGCAGUGGGGAAUAUUGCACAAUGGGCGCAAGGCUGAUGGAGCAAUGCCGCGUGUAUGAAGAAGGUAUUAGGGUUGUAAAGUACUGUCAGCAGGGAGGCGUUAGCCGCAGAAGAAGCACCGGCUAACUCCGUGCCAGCAGCCGCGGUAAUAC
rnacentral:rRNA from 1 species